ACAUACUCACACAUUAUCUCUCUCUCAGGGCAUACUGGGGUCUUAGGAACCAUUUCCCGGGGGAGGCAGACUCUCUGUUCAACUCGUUAGAACCGUCCUAUCAGAAGAGCCUCCAAUCGUCUCUCAAGAGUUCUGGGAGCGUGACGUCUCUUCCUCAGAGCGACCGCUCCUCUUCCUCAUCACAGGAGAGCCUUAAUCGUCCUCUGUCAUCUAAAUGGUCAGCUGCUCCUGGAAGAGUCCCGGCGGGUCAUAAGGGCGGGGUGUCGCCGGAGC